CAGCAGCCGCGGGAAUACAGAGGGUGCGAGCGUUGAUCGGAUUUACUGGGCGUAAAGCGUGCGUAGGCGGCUUCUUAAGUCGGAUGUGAAAUCCCUGAGCUUAACUUAGGAAUUGCAUUCGAUACUGGGAAGCUAGAGUAUGGGAGAGGAUGGUAGAAUUCCAGGUGUAGCGGUGAAAUGCGUAGAGAUCUGGAGGAAUACCGAUGGCGAAGGCAGCCAUCUGGCCUAAUACUGACGCUGAGGUACGAAAGCAUGGGGAGCAAACAGGAUUAGAUACCCCCGUAGUCCCUGUCUCUUAUAC
rnacentral:rRNA from 1 species